rnacentral:tRNA from 1 species
UGCGGGGUAGAGCAGCGGUAGCUCGUCAGCCUCAUAAGCUGGAGGUCGCAGGUUCAAGUCCUGCCCCCGCAA